rnacentral:lncRNA from 1 species
AUGUCUAAUCUCUGUUUAUUCUGGCUUUUGCAGGUCAUUAAGCUCGUCUCGUCUUUUGUGACUCGUCUUCUUCGCUGUCAGCCAAUAUAAGCCCAAACCAUGAAAUCAUGGACAGAUCUUGGACGUAUUUUGCGUGCAACAUGGAACUUGAAGUAGAUGCUGAAGAAAAUGACCAUAACUCAAUUAUUACUCAUUAAUCAAUAUUCCUAUCUAGUGAUGGCUAGUGGUGCUGGCGGCAAGGUCUCUU